CGCUCAUUUACUUAUAACCACAACAUCCUGACUGAAAGUGCAGAGCACAUUGCUCACCACCCUGGCCCAGCCAUGGUUUUCCUGUCAGUCCAAGCGAACAGACUCCUGUUGAUUCAGACGGUGCUGAGGAGCGUUGAGAGGGGCCUGAAGGAAGACGAACGAUGAUUUCAUAUUGCCCCGUGUGUGGAAAACCAGUCUACUUUGGUAAGUUUAUUUCUCUCUCCUCACUGUAUUUAAACUGCAGCUCUCUUGUGUGUUCAUAAGGCUAGAAAUUAAGGGCAGUACUUUGAGGCUCUGGUGAGGAUGGUAAGUCUGAAAUGCUCAUGGUUAAAAAACUGAUGACGGGGGGGGGGUGUCUUUGUAUGGGUAUGUGUUGAGAUUAGGUUUCAUAUUAACUUGCCUCCAGAUCUGCUGCUCUAGGAGGUUGUUGUUGUUGUUGUUUAGAUGUUUAGUCGUGUCCGACUCUUCAUGACCCCCUGGACCAGAGCACUCCAGGCACUCCUGUCUUCCACUUCCUCCCGCAGUUUGGUCAAACUCAUGCUGGUAGCUUCGAGAACACUGUCCAACCAUCUCGUCCUCUGUCGUCCCCUUCUCCUUGUGCCCUCCAUCUUUCCCAACAUCAGGGUCUUUUCCAGGGAGUCUUCUCUUCUCAUGAGGAAUUUUGGAGCCUCAGCUUCAGGAUCUGUCCUUCCAGUGAGCACUCAGGGCUGAUUUCCUUCAGAAUGGAGAGGUUUGAUCUUCUUGCAGUCCAUGGGACUCUCAAGAGUCUCCUCCAGCACCAUAAUUCAAAAGCAUCAAUUCUUUGGUGAUCAGCCUUCUUUAUGGUCUAGGAGGUUACCCCAUCAAAAAAAGAAAAGAAAAGAAAAGAAAAAGAGGAAGUUCUACAAAGGGUCUACAGCUCAGUGGCAGAACAUCUGUUUUACAUGCAGAAUGUCUCAUGUUCAACCCCCAGAAUCUCCAGGGAGGAUUGCUUGACAUUCUGGAGAGCCACUGCCAGUUAGUGUAGACCAAUGUUUCCCAAACUUAGGUCUCCAGCUGUUUUUUUGGACUACAACACCCAUCAUCCCUAGCUAGCAGAACCAGUGGUCAGGGAUGAUGGGAAUUAUAGUCCAAAAACAGCUAGAGACCCAAGUCUGGAAAACACUGGUGUAGGCAAUACUGAGUUAGAUGGAUUAAUGGUCUGACUUAGUAUAAGGCAGCUUUCAAUACUCCUUUAAUAACUCCGGUGCAAAUUCUCUGUCAUGAAAGAGUUGGAUAUGGAGAAAUUUGGGAGGUCUUCUUUCACGUUAGGAAAACCUUGUCCUUUUGCUUCUGGGCUCUCUGUCUGCUAUGUGGCCACAACCUCUUUGCUAAUUCUCUUUCUGGUCUUUGAAGUUUAACACAGCGUACAAAAUAAGUGUGUGGGGGGGGGGUUCUGAACAGAAGAACAAACCCUAUACGGCUGCCUCAUUGUUUGAGCUCUGGACUUUUUCAGCCGAACUGCCUAAUCGUUCCACUUUUGUUUUUCCGUAAAGGGUGUACAUCUGACCCUAAAUUUGAAGUGCUCUGUAAGGCUUCUCUUGUGCCAACAUCAGUCUUCCUUCAGCUCCACCCCACAAAGGCACUGAGAACUAUUCGUUUCUGUAAAAAUGGCAGUUCCCGUGCUGAAGCCAAUUUGGGUGCUAUGGAGAACUAUUCCAACCAUGCCAAGAAAAAAAAUGAAUAGUUGCAUAAUACACCCAUUUCAGAAGGUUAUAUUACCUUUCUCGUGAAAUAUAUCAGAAGAAAGUUGCAUAUGAAGUCAUAAGCAAGAUAAAGAACUGGUCUUGUAACGUGGGCUCCUUCUGUAAUUCCGCCCAGGCAAAGUCAAGAAGCCUCCAAUAGCUAAAAUAGCAAAAUUGGCUGAGUCACAUUUUCUUACUCUGCAAAAUUCUGUAGUUGCUUCAACAGGGACCUACAGAAUAGGAUGUGAAGAGGGUAUGGAGCAAGCAGGAAAGCAAAUCUGUGGGUCACUUGCAGGGUGCCUACAGAAAUCCAUUUUAUUUGCACAUUGAUGAUCAUCUGUGCUCAAGAUGCUGUCAGAGUGGUCACACACAAUCCUACUUUCAAUUCUCUUUGGGCCUGCAAAAGUUGUGGAGUGGUCACAACGCUUCAUUUCCAAGCUGUGCAUAUCCUACAACUCCUCCUGAAACCCCACGACUUUUUAGAGCAUAACUGUUCCGGUUUAGUUUUUGCCCUGCUUUGGUUAUGCUGUAACCCCUCCAGACAGCAACAAUGUGGUAGCGCAGGGGAAGCAUCCCAGAACAAACUAAAGAAGAAUGAACACACAACUAAUGCGCUAUUGCUGUGUCAACAGCAUAUUGAAGAACGUACCUGCACUAAAACACCCGUCUGGAGGGGCCCUCAGUGGAAAUGUUGCUUCUUCCCAUUUUAUGGCUCUUCUCAGCAACAGCACAGAAAGUGAAGCCAAACUUUUGCUGGGAGUUAAUUAUUGGAUUCGGGUGGUAGGAAAUGUUCAAAGUGCUUGCUUUGGCAGACACUUGAGACAAACUGCUUCUAGCCUACAACCCACAAAGUACCACAGCCCCCAAAACAUGCUAGGAGGGCUUCUCAGGGAAGGCCUCUCAAAAAUGGCUGACCCAGAAAUUGGGUUGCUUCUACUAAAUUCCAGGAAUCUGGCCUGGCCUCCACUUGUAGCCUAAUGGUUGCCAUCAAUUUCAUUUGAAUUAAUUUUAUAAUGAAAUGAUUUUAGAAUGUUGUACUAUUUUAUUUAUUUGUUGUUGUUAGCCGCCCUGAGCCCGGCUUCGGCUGGGGAGGGCGGGAUAUAAAUAAUUUUUAUUAUUGUUAUUAUUGUAGUGGAAUUCAGCACUACUCCUGAAUUUGGAGUGGUUAUGGACUAGGGUUGGGCUUGGGCAAGGGAUACAAAUCCCCAGACAAAGAUGAAGCUCCCUGAGUCACCUCACACUAUCAGUCCUAGAAGAUUAUUUUGUUCUGUUCUUCGGUCUAUUAAUUUGUAAUCUUCUUUUUUACAAGUACCCAAUGGUCAACUCCCACCCCCCUAUUUAAUAAUACUUGAUAUUAGUAUUGCACUCUUCCCAACUACCCAAAGGUCUCCACAGCUGUCUCAGUCAUUAUUACAACUGUGUAAGCUAGGCUGGUGGGCCACAGAGCCUAGGACUUGCCGAUCAGAAGGCGGCGGUUCGAAUCCCCGCGACGGGGUGAGCUCCCGUUGCUCGGUCCCUGCUCCUGCCAACCUAGCAGUUCAAAAGCACGUCAAAGUGCAAGUAGAUAAAUAGGUACUGCUCCGGUGGGAAGGUAAACGGCGUUUCCGUGCGCUGCUCUGGUUCGCCAGAAGCAGCUUAGUCAUGCUGGCCACAUGACCCGGACGCUGUACGCCGGCUCCCUCGGCCAAUAAAGUGAGAUGAGUGCCGCAACCCCAGAGUCGGUCACGACUGGGCCUAAUGGUCAGGGGUCCCUUUACCUUUACCUUUAAGCUAGGCUGGUAUUAUGACCUGUGUCAUAAGAUGGAGAAGGGAAGCUGGAAGCUGUAUCGUUUGCCUAAAACCAUCUAGUGUGUUCACUGAUGAACAUACAUUUGAACCCAGAACAUCUCAGCUCCUUCUCAAAACACACUCCUGGCCUCUGUAAACUAGCCCAGUGGUUCCCAAGUUGUACCCCCUCACCACCCCAGACCACUUGAAAAUUGCUGAGGAUCUUGGUGGACCAUUUAACGAUUUUUCUCCCUGUCAUAGCAAAUUGUGAUAUGUGCUAGAUGAUGUGUGAUUUUUAAUUGCAUUUUUAAUUGCUUCUUUCAUUUCUUAUAUUGCAGUUUAUUGCAUUACAAUUUGAAUUCCACAGAAUUAGCAUUGUAAUGCAAUUAAAUACAAUAUCAGAAAUAAAAGGAGCAAUAAAAAACUAUAUGACUGUGUCAGGGAACUGCCAUCGGAAGGAAGGGAGGUGAAAGGACUCAGACAGGUUGGAAGAGAUUCAGCAGCUGAAGAGGGAACCAGCAAGGGGAGAGAAGCUGAACUGAGGGAGGUGAAAGGGCUCAGACAGGUUGGAAGAGACUCAGCAGCGGAACAGGAAACCAGUAGGGGAGAGAAGCUGAACUGAGGGAAAGGGAGCUGGGGGAUGGCUCAGAGAUACUUCCAGCGAAAACAGUGGUGAGGUUUCCGGACCUCCUGUAGCGACACCCACUCCUCGCCGGAAACUGUCACGCAGAGAGUCCAGAAGACGUGUUUCCGUUAAGGAGCUUUUAUGUUGGAAGCGAUUACGAAAGCAACCACUGUCGGAAUCUUCUAGUGACUAGAGGAGCCAUGUCAGAGGGGCUCAGUCACAGACAGAGGUUUGUGGACUUGAACAAACUCUGAGGGAAUACGAUUUUACGCACAAGCAGCUCAUAAUCCCAUCACAGCAUUCCGACAGUCUUUGAACGCAGCUUGUGCAGGAGAAGGCAUAAUGAGCAACCCAGCAGGAACCGGAGAAGCAGGGGCUGGAGCGGGUCCAAGCCUGGAAGAAAGGUACCGGGUGUUGGAGGUCCAGCUGGCGCUGCAGACGGCGAGGCUGGAGGAGAGGAGGGCGCAAGAUGCAGACAAAGGGAGAAAGCCACCCAGCUCGCCAGAAAGGUACCAGGAUUGGUGCAGAAAUUUGGGGGGGAGCCCAAAGACUAUCAUAGCUUUCGGACAGAAAUGCAAUAUGCCCUCAAUCUGCAGUUUGAUGAUUUCCCUGAUGAGGAAUCACGAGUGGCUUUUGUGAUUGGGCAUCUUGAAAAGGGGGCGAGAGACUGGGUGAGACCCCUGAUGGCAGCGCAUAGUGACGUCCUAAAGGACACAAUGAAGUUCUUUCGCGCCAUGGAUUUGAUGUUUUCCAGCGAUAUUGAAAAGGGAGUGGUGCGCAGACAGUUAAUGGCUUGCAAACAGGGGAGCCGAUCUGUACGUGAGUACUGGACUGAGUUCACCAUGCUGAUACACAGAUUGGGGUGGGACUUAUCGGCGGAACCCAUUCAAAUGCUCUUUGAAGAAGGGCUUUCUUCGGCUGUGAAAGAUGAACUUUCCCGGGCGCCCAGGGCGGAGUCUAUGGACCAGCUGACCAAAUCAGCGCUGGCCAUAGGAGCGCGCCAGGAGGCGAGAGCAUUGGAGAGGCGGGAAGGGAAAGGGGAACGUUGGAAGGAGUUCCGCAUUCCAGACAUUCCAGAGCCAACUGUCCCGCCGGCAGAGCCGAUGGAAAUCGGAACAGCGCGCGCGCGCGCAGUUUCAAAGCCCAGUGAGGGGGAAAAGAAGGAUGGAAAAGGCGCCCGGAAAUGCUAUCUCUGCCAACAGCCAGGGCACUUUGCCAGAGUCUGCCCCCAGAGGAAGGAAUGGCAAGGGAUGGUGGGAGCUGUGGAGGGAAGAGAGGAAAAAUACCGGAGCAACUAAAAGCCAACGCCUGGCUGCCAUUGUCGGGGCACAGCAGCCAGGCCAAAGAGCAGUGAAAGUGCCCACUCCAGAACCUCCUAAACCCGCCCUAGUGAUAGAAGUGACACUAGAGCUGCCAAACGGACACCCUCUAAAGAUUAAGGCGCUGUUGGACUCAGGCAGCUCCUGCAAUUUCAUGAGCAAAGAGUUUGCAGCUGAACACCAGAUACAGACGCUCCCUUUAAGCAACCCCCUGCAGGUAACCACGAUCGAUGGCAGGGAGCUGUUGGGAGGAGAAGUCAGUUUGCAGACCGUCCCAAUGAUAAUGAAGGUGGCAAGGCACACCGAACUAAUAGCAUUUAAUGUGGCCACCUUGGGAGGAGCUCCCAUUAUAUUGGGGAUGAGCUGGCUAGCGUUACAUGAUCCGCUGGUGGGCUGGCAUCAAAGAGUGGUUUCUUUUGGGUCAGCACAUUGCUUAGAACAUUGCAAAGAGGGAAGGGUUUUGGCAGGGGCCCAAGCCACUCUAGCAGGGACUGAAGUGACGGAGAACGUGAAGGUACCACGACAAUACGCAGAUCUCCGCGACGUUUUCAGCGAAAGGGAAGCUGACCAACUACCACCGCAUAGAGCCUUUGACUGUCAAAUCAAUUUGCUCCCUGGGGCACAGCUCCCUGUAGGCAAGCUGUACGCCAUGUCAGACAGAGAGAUGCAGGAGCUAAGAGAGUUCAUUGACAAGAACCUGAAGAGAGGGUUCAUCAGAGAGUCCAGGGCGGUGGGGCAGCCCAGUGUUUUUGUGGACAAAAAACACGAACAAGCCGAGACUGGUGUGUGACUUCAGGGCCUUAAAUGCAGUGUCAGAACCAGUGGCCUUCCCGAUGCCCAGAAUUGACGACAUUUUGACAAGGGUGCGGAAGGGAAAGAUUUUUACCAAGCUGGAUCUAAGGGGGGCGUACAACCUGAUACGAAUAAGGAAGGGGGAUGAAUGGAAAACCACCAUGUUCACCCCUUUAGGGGCAUUUGAAUACUUAGUUAUGCCCUUCGGUCUACAAGCAGGCUCCGCAACAUUUCAAUCGUUUAUGAACCACGUCCUGGGGCCGUUGCUUUACAAGAAUUGUGUGGCCUUCUUAGACGACGUGUUGGUGUAUUCUGAGAAUGAGGAGCAGCAUGUGAGAGACGUCAGAGAAGUGUUGAGCAGGCUGCAAGCCAACCAGCUGUGGGUGAAACUGGAGAAGUGUCAGUUUCAUACCAAGGAGGUGGAAUUCCUGGGGUAUCGCCUGUCUGACAAGGGGUUGGCCAUGGAUCCCGACAAGGUCCAGGCGGUACUGGAAUGGAAAACACCCAAAACAAGGAAGGAUGUGCAGAGGUUUUUAGGGUUUGGGAACUUCUAUCGUAAGUUCAUCCCAAACUUUGCCCACCUGACGGCGCCCAUUACGGACUGUCUCAGCAGUAAGAAGAAGUUCGCUUGGACGGAGGAGGCGGAGCAAGCAUUUGAGGAACUAAAAGGGCCUUCGCCUCGGAACAACAGCUCCUGCAUGUGGAUUUACAAAAACCGAUGAGAGUGGAAACUGACGCAUCAGACAGAGCGGUUGGGGCGGUGCUUCUCCAGCCAGGGAAGGAGGAGUCAGAGUGGAGACCGUGUGCUUUUUUUCGCGAAAGCUGAACAAAUCCGAGAGGAACUACACGGUGUAUGACCGAGAACUACUAGCCAUUCAUGAGGCGUUCCGGAGAUGGAGGCACCUGCUAAUUGGCGCACAACAUAAGGUGCAAGUGUGCACUGACCACAAGAACCUAGAGUAUUGGAGGACGGCACGAGUGCUCAACCAACGGCAAGUGAGAUGGGCCCAGGAAUUCUCCAAAUUUAACUUUGAGAUUUGUUACGUGCCAGGCCCAGAGAACAUUAGGGCGGACGCUCUCUCACGCAAACCUGAAUAUUGGGAGGGGGAGGGAGCACCCGAAGAGAGACAUGUCAUUCCAGAGGACCGCUGGGUGUGUGGGGCGGCAUUGGUGGGACAAAGAGAACUGGUAGAAGAAACAGAGAAUGAUGAAUACGCCCAGAAUAAGCUCAGAGGUCUUAGGGAUGAGGGAGAGGAAUCAAGGGGUUUCGAGGAAAGAAAUGGAGCUUUGUAUUACAAAGGGGCACUGUAUAUCCCUGAAGGAGACUUAAGGGGGGGGUACUCAAGCAGUUGCAUGACAGCCCCACGGCGGGGCAUUUUGGGCAACACAAAACCAUGUGGUUGGUCACCAGGGAAUUUUGGUGGCCUAAGGUGAGGGAGGAUGUACGUGAGUAUGUAAGAGGGUGCGAGCAGUGCCAGCGAGCCAAAGGGGAAAGGCGGGCGCCGGCGGGGCUAUUAGAACCCUUACCAACACCAGAACGACCUUGGGAGGCAGUGUCGAUAGAUUUUAUGACUGAUCUGCCGAAGUCCAAAGGGAAAACAGCCAUCAUGGUGGUGGUAGACCUACUAACAAAGAUGUGCCACUUUGUAGCUUGCUCGCAUGCAGUCACGGCGGAAGAGACAGCGAAGUUAUUUGUAGAACACAUUUUUAGGUUGCACGGGGUGCCAUUGAGGGUGGUCUCAGACCGAGGAAAACAAUUUACUUCCAGGUUCUGGAGGAAGCUCAUGAGCUUACUGCAGGUGGAGGUCAACUUUUCGACUGCCCGGCACCCUGAAACCAACGGGCAGGCGGAAAGAGCAAACGGUGUCCUCCAGCAAUACCUGAGGUGUUAUGUCAAUGACAGAGAGAAUGACUGGGUAGAAAAGUUGGCGCUGGCGGAAUUUGCCUACAACAAUGCCGAGAAUGUGUCCACAGGGAUGAGCCCCUUCUUGGCUAAUUAUGGGUGUCAUCCCAGGGCUUUCCCAGGGGGAGAAGGGGAGAGAUGGAGCGUACCGGCAGCCGAGCAUUUUGUAGAAGAAAUGGAAGCAAUCCACCGUCAGCUCCAACUCAACUUAGAAAGGGCGAAGGAAGAAUACAAGAGGCAGGCAGACAAGAACCGAAGGGAAGGUGAAACCAUAAGGGUUGGAGAUAGGGUGUGGCUGUCAACCCGAGGGUUGCCGUUCAAAGGAGGUUGUAAGAAAUUACGACCCAGGAGGUUGGGUCCCUUUGAGGUCAUUCAACAGGUCAACCCAGUGGCUUUCAGGCUCCGGUUACCCAACCACAUGAAACUGCACCCAGUAUUUCACAGGUCGUUACUGUCACCGUACGAGGGGGGACGAGAAGGGAUGGCCACUGGGACCGGUCAUAGAAGAAAGAGAAUGCAGCAGUCAUGUGGCAGAAAUCCUUGAUGCCAGGUGGAAGGGGAAUCAGGUGGAGUAUUUGGUAGCGUGGGAAGGAGAACCGGAGUCAGAAAACACGUGGGUAAUGGCCAAAGAUAUCAAUGACGAGGUAUUGAUAGAAAUGUUCCAUCAAAGGUUCCCGCGGAAACCUCAGCCUGUGGAGAGGUUCCGGAGGGAAUACUUUGGGACCACUGAGGAGGAGGAGGAGUUGGAAGGAUUCCCAGAAUCGGAAGGGGAAGGGGAGAUGGACUCGGAGGAGGAGGAGUGCUUCGAGACCAGGAACCGCAACAGGUGGAGAGAAGUGUUCGAGACAUCGGAAGAUGAAGGAAGUUCAUUCCGGGUUUUGCCUCCUCACCGCCCGUAGAGGAGGGGGCGAGAGGGGGUGAAGGGGGCCCUGGAGGGGAGGUGGAUGUCAGGGAACUGCCAUCGGAAGGAAGGGAGGUGAAAGGACUCAGACAGGUUGGAAGAGAUUCAGCAGCUGAAGAGGGAACCAGCAAGGGAGAGAAGCUGAACUGAGGGAGGUGAAAGGGCUCAGACAGGUUGGAAGAGACUCAGCAGCGGAACAGGAAACCAGUAGGGGAGAGAAGCUGAACUGAGGGAAAGGGAGCUGGGGGAUGGCUCAGAGAUACUUCCAGCGAAAACAGUGGUGAGGUUUCCGGACCUCCUGUAGCGACACCCACUCCUCGCCGGAAACUGUCACGCAGAGAGUCCAGAAGACGUGUUUCCGUUAAGGAGCUUUUAUGUUGGAAGCGAUUACGAAAGCAACCACUGUCGGAAUCUUCUAGUGACUAGAGGAGCCAUGUCAGAGGGGCUCAGUCACAGACAGAGGUUUGUGGACUUGAACAAACUCUGAGGGNNNNNNNNNNNNNNNNNNNNNNNNNNNNNNNNNNNNNNNNNNNNNNNNNNNNNNNNNNNNNNNNNNNNNNNNNNNNNNNNNNNNNNNNNNNNNNNNNNNNAAGGGAGCUGGGGGAUGGCUCAGAGAUACUUCCAGCGAAAACAGUGGUGAGGUUUCCGGACCUCCUGUAGCGACACCCACUCCUCGCCGGAAACUGUCACGCAGAGAGUCCAGAAGACGUGUUUCCGUUAAGGAGCUUUUAUGUUGGAAGCGAUUACGAAAGCAACCACUGUCGGAAUCUUCUAGUGACUAGAGGAGCCAUGUCAGAGGGGCUCAGUCACAGACAGAGGUUUGUGGACUUGAACAAACUCUGAGGGAAUACGAUUUUACGCACAAGCAGCUCAUAAUCCCAUCACAGACUGUUAAUGAGAACAUGCCGUGGACCACCGGAAUGAAGCUUGUGGACCACGGGUGGUCCACAGGCCAUAGUUUGGGAGCCCCUGGACUAGCCUGUUUUGCUCAGAGGGAAAACCAGGCAAGGUGUUGAUGUCAUGGAAGUAAUGCAAGGCUGGGCAUUCAGGAAGCCACAACAGUCAGAAGGUAGCAAGUGUAGCAGAAACAGGAAGAACAGGUCACAAACAGGAAGCUUUGAAGAUGUCAAGCAGCAGCACUGAAAUGCGAGGCAAACAUUUACAAACCACAGAGCACAAGCAAAAGGAGAGCUCUAAAAUGAGCGCAAUCUGAUGUCAAUUUUCAGUGAGACACCUGCAGUCACUGCCCCCAGCUCACCAAGUGAGUUGCCAGUGGAUGUUCCUGGGAGCUCAAUAGCUGUGCAGCAAAAGACCUUUUGACCAGUGUGUGGUUGCUCCUUUCACUACAGGAGGUAUGCAGAGCCUCAGAGCCAAAUGUGGCCCUCCAGGACUCUCUAUCAGGCCCCCCAGGCUGCUCCUUUCUGGACUUCCUCCCUACCAGCUGCAUUCUCCUUGGGAUAUGUCCUUGAACAGCAAUAGUGCUUCUUGCUUACGUAGGUGGAGCUGUGUAUGGACAGAGGUGUAGGAAUAUCUGGUACCUGCAUGACUGGGAUGCAGUCCAUGGUCGAGGGAGAAUGAGCCACAUCCAGUUGCUCUACAAGUUUUUGGAUCUGGCUAAACCCAUUAGCCCCAUAUGGUCUGCAGAAGGUUGCUCAGCCUUAGGUUAAAAAAAGGUUCUCCACCUCUGCAGCGCACCAUCAGACUCCCACUGAUACUCUUAAUAAAUAAUAUGAGAAAACCAGUUGUCAUCUCCUUGCCCUUCUCUUUCCCAUUUGGGCAUGCAAGAUGGUUGAAUAAACAGGUGACAUGUUGCAUUGCUCCCGAAAACCUGGGGUGAUGAGUACAUGCACCAGUUUCUGUCUGCUGGUAGCCAUGAUGGCUAUAGUCAACCUCCACUUUCAGAGACACCAUUCCUCUGAAUAUCAGUUGCUGGAAAUCACAGGUGGGCAGAAUGUUGUUGCGCCCAAGUCUUGCUUGCAGGUUUCCUAUAAGUAUCUGGUCAACCACUGUGAAAACAGGAUGCAGGACUAGAUGGGCCAUUGGCCUGAUCCAGCAGCCUCUUCUUUUGUUAUGUGACUUGAAUUAUGUAGGUCUGACCAUCGAUUUAGGGAUGCCUGAGGAUGUAUGGAAGUGAGAGCUGGACCAUAAAGAAGGCUGAUCACCGAAGAAUUGAUGCUUUUGAAUUAUGGUGCUGGAGGAGACUCUUGAGAUUCCCAUGGACUGCAAGAAGAUCAAACCAAUCCAUUCUUAAGGAAAUCAGCCCUGAGUGCUCACUGGAAGGACAGAUCCUGAAGCUGAGGCUCCAAUACUUUGGCCACCUCGUGAGGAGAGAAGUCUCCCUGGAAAAGACCCUGAUGUUGGGAAAGAUGGAGGGCACAAGGAGAAGGGGACAACAGAGGACGAGAUGGUUGGAUAGUGUUCUCGAAGCUACCAGCAUGAGUUUGACCAAACUGCGGGAGGAAGUGAAAGACAGGAGUGCCUGGUGUGCUCUGGUCCGGAGGGUCAUGAAGAGUCGGACACGACUAAAUGACUAAACAACAACAACAACAACGAGGAUGGGAUUGGUUAUGUGUCCUCCCAUUCUCCAUCCUUUGAAAUGUCUUACUCCCUCUCUGGUCUGAAAGGCAUUUGUUUUAUUCGGAACUUCUGUGGUGUUCAAAGUUCUUCUUCUGUCAUCACCAUCCCUUCGUAUGGUGCAUUUGAGUGUGCUCAAAGUGUUUCAAAUUGGUAGCUCAGUGGUCCUUACAAAAACUCUGUAAGGUAGGUCAAUAUCUCCAUAUUGAAGAUGGGGAAGAGCCUCUGUGGACAAUGAAUAAGUUCAUGGUAGAGCCAAGAUUUGAACAGGAAUCUUCCUGGAUCAACAGCUCACCUUCUUGGGCAUUAUAUUACUCAAGUAAACUUUGUAACGUUUGCACAGUCUUGGUUUGUAAGAAUGAGUUAGCACCUGGUUCAAACUUCAUGAAUCUCAUCCAACAUCUCCCCCACCCUUUCUUCUCAAUUUGCAUUUGUCAUAUGGGGGCCACAGAGCUAAUCUUCAGGGUUCUUGUAAAGAUCAUUGAGAUAAGGUAUGUGUGGUGCUUUGAGCACUUAAGAGCACUGUUUCAAUGCUCUUGUUUUUGCCAGACUGGAGAAACGGCUGACUCAAGGCUGGCACUGUCACAAGGCACUUGGCAGGAUGCUUUUCGUAACUAGCUUUUGUGUGCUCUCAUUCUACUUCAGAAACUUUCCAGGUUGUAGAUUUCCAGUAAAAAUAAACUGGCCAAUUGGCUUUCUGGUGCCAGCUCUUGGCUUCUCAAGACUUACUAUUUCUUUCUCUCUCUCCUUCCCGCUCUCUCUAACCUCUCCCCAAAAGUGAUAAAAUAAAUAUUAGUGCAAUUUUCUCACAGGUAACAGCUGUGUCGGGUUGAUUUAGUAGAAUCACACACACUGUCUCUCUGUGGUUGAACAUAGCCUUCAGAAUCACACAUGCUGUAAACACAGAAUGUAGCUGAAUAGAUAGAAAGGAGGAUAGUGUGAUGGCCACUUUAGGGCUCAUCUGCUCUUCCAUUUCCCCUGCUGCUUUCCCCUGGGAAAAACUGUGGUUUAGCACUGAAUCAGAACGAACACCAUUCAGGGUUUCUGUGCAUUGCCGUUUGUUCCAGUUUCGUGCCAAAGAGCUGGUUUUCUGAGAGCAAAGGCAAAAGCAAAACGGCUCAGACCUGUCUCUAGAAGGCACAGGACAAGCAAAAAACCACUCAGACCCAUGCUUUCUAGGCAUGGGGGCAAGUGGAAAUAUAGGUGAGCCCUCAGAGACUGUGAUCCACUCUUCUUCCUGUUUCCAUUAUUCCCAAUGUCCAUUAAUAGUUUUAGAACAGGGAUGGGGAACCUUGCUGCUUUUAAUGCCGAACUGAAACUAAACAGUACACUUCCUGAGAGGAGACUCAGCAGUUCCUCAUAUGGCUGAGACACAGGGCUUUUUUUUCAGCUGGAACUCUCCGGAACUCAAUUCCAGCACCUCUCAGGUGGGCACCAUUACCAUUAGACGAGAACAAGGGAGGCGUUCAUGGUGAGUUCCGGCACCUCUUUUUCUAGAAAAAUAGCACUGUUGAUACACCACACCUAUAAGCCUCCAUAUGCCGUUGGACUACAACUCCUAUCAUCUCUGAGCAUUGGCGACGCUGUUUGGAAACAGAUGGGAGUAAGAGUUCAGCAAUAUCUGCAAAAGUUCUCCAUCUUUGAUUACAACCUGAGUCAUGAGGCCAAAGUCAGAGCUGCGAAAGUAAAACAACACCCUGAAACUGUUACAGGUGGGAUGAAUAAUAUCCGAUAGAAUUAACUCAUUUGCAAAUUUCACCCAUAUUAAUUACACUCCUGCUAAAUCAUGGGUGUAAUUAAGUCUUGAUGGUUAUGGAAAUGGUUACCGCUGGUAGUAUUUUCAUAUCGCCAUAGGUUCCCUAAUACCACAGGAGUUAUUACCACUGCUGCGGUGUUUGGUCAAGUAAAUACUCCUAUCAGGAGUAAUUAAUACUGGCGGCAUGCUAAUGGUACUCUAAAUGCUGUCAGAAAUGACUGUGUGUCUGAGUCCUGGCUGUGAAAUCCCUUCCGUUAAUGAAUGCUUAUGGGCACAACAUGACCUUACAAAGCUUGUUUGCUUGCCAGUAUUUUGACUUUGCAAGGAGAAAUGUGACAGGAGAAUAUUUAGGAUGACAAGAGAAGCACAAAGAGGAAGAAAGGAACUAAACUGACCACUGAUAUUAGCAAUUUAAACCCAGGUAUAUAUGCACUUAAGGGACGCGGGUGGCGCUGUGGGUUAAACCACAGAGCCUAGGACUUGCUGAUCAGAAGGUCGGCAGUUCGAAUCCCCGCGAUGGGGUGAGCUCCCUUUGCUCGGUCUCUGCUCCUGCCCACCUAGCAGUUUGAAAGCACAUCCAAGUGCAAGUAGAUAAAUAGGUACCGCUCAGGCGGGAAGGUAAACGGCAUUUCCGUGCGCUGCUCUGGUUCGCCAGAAGCGGCUUAGUCAUGCUGGCCACAUGACCCGGAAGCUGUACGCCGGCUCCCUCGGCCAAUAAAGCGAGAUGAGCGCCGUAACCCCAGAGUCGUUCGCGACUGGACCUAAUGGUCAGGGGUCCCUUUACCUUUACUAUAUAUGCACUUAGGAUACUCUGCUCUCUCUCUCCCACACCCCAUUUGUAACAAUCAAAUUGGUUUCUUCUAUUACUUUGCCUUUUCUAUGUAUGUCCUCGGGUGCUUUAUUUUCUUACAGGGUACUCAACUUGCAAUAUUAAAGUGAGUGAAAAACAGAGCAAUGGAAUAUAUUACAUUAUUGAAAAUUUUAGCAAAGCAUGCCUCAACAUAUACUGCAAAGACCACUUCCAGAUUUAAAAUUUAAAGAUACAAGCAGCUGAUUCAAAAUUAACAUGAUUCAAAAUUGAGAACAUGAGCAAAACUUCUGCCUGAAUGGUUAUGAGGACAGGCAGUGAUGUUACUUUGGUGGGGUGAAAGGGGAGACAUUAUAUACUUAUUUUACACAUUGUCUUCUUUUGUUAAACAAUAAAUUUAUACAAUUAUCCAUGUUUUGGGUGUUUCUGUGAUUUUGUCAAUUUUCUUCAUAAUGAUGACAAACAUUUAUGUGGCACAUUUCAAGUGGUCGCAGCACGUUGUGCAUAUUAUCUCUCAAUAAUCUUUAUAAGGUAGACCAAGAAUUACCAGUCUUUUCGGACCAGAGGGCACAUUUCAAAUUUGGAGAAAGUACUGUGUGAGUUCUGGUCACAAAAUGGCUGCCAUGGAGUCCUGGCAUAACACAACAUUAGAGAAAGUACAGUGGUACCUCGGGUUACAUACACUUCAGGUUACAGACUCCGCUAACCCAGAAAUAGUACCUCGGGUUAAGAACUUUGCUUCAGGAUGAGAACAGAAAUCGUGCUCUGGUGGUGCGGCGGCAGCAGGAGGCCCCAUUAACUAAAGUGGUUCUUCAGGUUAAGAACAGUUUCAGGUUAAGAACGGACCUCCGGAACGAAUUAAAUACUUAACCCGAGGUAGCACUGUACUGCUGCUGUUGUUGCUUUGCCUUGGGAAGUUACCUGUCCCAAUUGUGAAGAUCUCACAAUACAGUGGUGCCUCGCAAGAUGAAAUUAAUUCGUUCUGCGAGUUUUUUUGACUUGCGAAUUUUUCGUCUUGCGAAGCACGGUUUUAACGGGUAUUAACGGUUUUAAGAAAAAGGAAACAAACUCGCAAUACAUUUCCGUCUUGCGAAGCAAGCCCAUAGGGAAAAUCGUCUUGCGAAGCAACUCAAAAAACAAAAAACUCUUUCGUCUUGCGAGUUUUUCAUCUUGCGAGGCAUUCGUCUUGCGUGGUACCACUGUAUUGAUUCCCUGCUGCCCACAUAGAAUGAUGCUGUUGUCGUCUAACAAUGACAAGGAUAUUUCCCCAGUACUAGGGGAAAAUACUUGGCAGCUACACCACUUUCUCUCUCUUGCACAAACAGAUCAGGCACACUUACAUUUCUUUCAUACUCACUCAUACAAACACACUUCGCAUAUAUACAGCCAUACAUUCAUCUUCCCCCUCUCUCUCUCACACACAGAAACCACAAAGACCACACAAACCUCCCCCCUCUCUUUUUCACAUGCAAACCAAAUGCACAUCUCUCGCUCUCUGCAGAAGUGCAUCUCUUUCUCGCUUUUGCAGACCACACAAACACCCGUGCAGUAUCAGCUCCACAACAUACACCUCUCCCUCUCACACAGACCAAACAUACACAUAGAUCACAUAUUCACACCUCUGCCCCUCCUCCACACACACCGCACACAUAUCUGCCUCUUUGCCAAUCACACACACGUAGAGAAAGCAACUCACCUUCAGAAAAGCCAUUCCAUGGGCAAAAUAAGGACCCGCCUUCAGCUCCACAUGGCUGGCAGGCAACAAACAACCAGCUGAAUUAAUGGGGUGCUCCUUUUUGCUCUCUUCUGCCCCAUCCAGACAUAGUGGGUGAGGGAAGUCCCUUCACAGCAUGAAGCAAGUGCCUGAUGCCAGCUCCACAUGGCUGGCAGGAUACAAACAAGCAAGCAGGAGUGACGCCAAUGGGGCAGUCGUCCCUGCCAAUUCUCAUUCCCUAAACAUCCUUCCAAAUCAGAGUGUAAGGGAAUGGGCGCUUCUAGUGCCAGUAACUGCUCUGCGCUGCUCUGUCAUUUCAGCUGCAUAAUCUGCUUAGUGUUUACCAUCUCAGUGCCGGCAGGUAUUAUUCUUCUGUGUGCCAUAGUAGUGACCCCUGAAGUAGGUAAAGGUAAAGGGACCCCUGACCAUUAGGUCCAGUCGUGACCGACUCUGGGGCUGCAGCACUCAUCUCGCUUUAUUGGCCGAGGGAGGCGGCGCACAGUUUCCGGGUCAUGUGGCCAGCAUGACUAAGCUGCUUCUGGCGAACCAGAGCAGCACAUGGAAACGCCGUUUACCUUCCCGCCGGAGCGGUACCUGUUUAUCUACUUGCACUUUGACGUGCUUUCGAACUGCUAGGUUGGCAGGAGCAGGGACCGAGCAAUGGGAGCUCACCCCGUCGUGGGGAUUCGAACCGCCGACCUUCUGAUCGGCAAGUCCUAGGCUCUGUGGUUUAACCCACAGCGCCACCCAUGUCCCGACCCCUGAAGUAAGUCACCCUAUAUUAUACCCAAGGUGUAGUGGGAAGGCAUGGAGAACACUGGCAAGAUUGCUUACAAAGCAAUCCUAUGCACAUUUACCCAGGAAAUCUGACCUGCUAACAUUAAAAUCAGCUAUGGGGCCAACCUGACAGUGUAACCCAUACACUGUGCUUUCGGUGGCAAUAGCUGUCAAUGCAGAAAGAGGAUGAAGCAGCAAGUGAUCCAAACUGCACUCCAAGAUCCCUUGCAAUGUCAGAAGGGAUUUUGAGGUGCACUUCUCAUGUUGCAGUUGUUGUUGGGGGCAAUAAAACAUGGCACAUUGCUUUAAUGAGCAGUUCCAAGCAGAUUUUUCUGGCAAAAGAAAAAGGUGUUGAGACAUCCAGCCAUGCAGUCUAAUGUGAUCCUCCACUACCUUUGGGAGUUGCUGCUUGCAGGCACAAUUCUUAGGCCCUGAGUAGAUUUGUAAAUUCUGAUGUUGAACAGAAGUCACUGAAUACAGAUGUCAUCAUUUUAGGAGCAUGUGAAGAAGUACCAGUUUGAUGUGCUGGCCUCCUAACUCAUGCAGUAUCAACCCCAGUCCCGUUAACUGUGAACCCUGUGACUGCACACAUUUGCUGGGCAAAACAAUGUGGAAUCUCACCAGUCAGUGAUACAGAAAGGGAAACUGAGUCCUGAUUCUGUGCCCCAACCAACAUAGGUAAAGGUAAAGGGACCCCUGACCAUUAGGUCCAGUCGCGGACGACUCUGGGGUUGCAGCGCUCAUCUCGCUUUAUUGGCUGAGGGAGCCAGCGUACGGUUUCCGGGUCAUGUGGCCAGCAUGACUAAGCUGCUUCUGGCGAACCAGAGCAGCGCACGGAAAUGCCGUUUACCUUCCUGCUGGAGCAGUACCUAUUUAUCUACUUGCACUUUGACGUGCUUUUGAACUGCUAGGUUGACAGGAGCAGGGACCGAGCAAUGGGAGCUCACCCCGUCGUGGGGAUUCGAACCGCCGACCUUCUGAUCGGCUGUCCUAGGCUCUGUGGUUUAACCCACAGCGCCACCUGCGCCCCUACUCUGCUUCAAAAGUUGCUUCAGUACACUUCUUCUUCUUCUUCUUCUUCUUCUUCUUCUUCUUCUUCUUCUUCCUCCUCCUCCUCCUCCUCCUCCUCCUCCUCCUCAACAGGUCGGAACCAGGUGCACCAACUCUAGGGGGCAGAGGUGUCAUCAGCCCCCUCAAUAUUCAGGGGGCUGAGCCCCCUGCUAAGAAUUAGUGAGGGAGCAGAAGACGCAGAACCGCCAAGUGAAGUGUGGCACGGCAUCGACAGAAGGCUGGCCUGGCCUGCGAGGGGUUGGGAGAUGCUGAGCGAGUGGUGUGGCCUGCCAUGAGGUUACGCUGGACUGCACAGCAACUCUCGACACCGCGCAGGCCAGGCCAGUACACUUUUCUGCUAGGCCGUGCCGGUCCAGCCUGCAGGACAUUGGAAGACAUGUGUGAAGGCACACGAUGUGACACACAUGCGACGUGUGACGUCCUGCCCCCAUCUUGGGGGCAACGCAGCACCUGUGGUUAGAAGCAAAUUGGAAAAUUCAGUUAGGAUCCCAGGUCAGCUUCUUGCUUCUUUUGCUGGGAGAAGGGCCAGAGCAUUCUCAGGUGGCUGAUUUUAGGUGUUCAGAAAACGGCAGCAAAUUGUUACCUAUGUCGUUUAUUCUCCUUGUAUUUGUACUCUUGGGAAGAGAGGAGGUUGGGGGAUUUUCUGCCUCGGGUGCCAAAAUAACUCGGCUGGCCUUGGGUACUAUGGCAACUUGACUUGUUGGCGGGGAGAGGGUGUGUACGUGUGCGUUCCCUUUGUUUUUCCCCCACACCCGGCUGCAAAAUGUCCUUGAACUGGACCUGAGGGUGGUUUAGGAGAAGCGAGGUAGACAGUGGAGUUUGUGGGCACAGCUGAAUAGAGACACUGCACUGUUUUCGGCGUCGGAUUUGUAUUUGAUAGGAAGUGGAGCCCUCUACAGACUCUGGAUGCGAAUGGACUUCCUUUGAGGGAUGUGUUCACCUGCUUACUAAUGCUUCACCUCAGCAAGGGCAGCGAAACAGUCAGUUUGUUCCAGAACAGCCUUUUCCCUAAGGCGGCGAGGACGUACUGUGCUGAGUGUGGAGGCCUUUGGUAGCAUCCCCGGCAAUUGAGCUUAACGAAGGGGAGUGUGGUGUUUUUAGAGUGUGACUGAUGUGUUGUGCAUUUAAUAAGUCCCAGCACAUCCUGUUGGAAGGUGAUGGGACAAAACCGCUGACAGAUUUAUUUUCCAGGAUCAGAUGGCUCCAUUAUUAAUCACAGAAGGUACAUACCAAGGGAAGGAAUGAGAUGAAAGAUAAAAAUAAUCUGGAUUGGGAACCGAUAGAGCUUCUUUUACCUGUCUCUCUUUUUUUCAGUUUUCAACUGUUAAAUGAAAAGUAAUUUUGGAUGAGAGCUUGCUUAUAUUUUGCAGCAGGUUUCCAAUAUAUAUUUUAAUAUGUUGGCUAUGGUCCAGAGUAUGUGCAGAACCCGUUGAUAGCUGAGGCAGACAAAGCUCACAAGUGUAUUGUGUAUCCGUCUUCCCCCUUACACUGGUGAACCUCAAGUCUCAGCACCAUGUUAUCUUUAGCAAUUUUAUUUACUUAAAAGGUUUUACAUAUGGCCUAAUCAUCAAAAUUUCUAAGCAGUUUACAUGAACCAUAAAAUAUACAUUAACUUUACUGAGAGAAUCAGAUGCUAAAAACAAGCUCACCUUAAAAAAAUGUUCAAAAUGAAAACAGCAGUUUUAAAACAUGCAUUAUAUAAUGAAAUUACAUAUUAAACCACGUCACAUUUACAUGUAUGGCUAGGCUUGCUUAAACAAAAUACAUUUUAGCUGGCGCUGAAAACAAUAUAGCAUAUCAAUGGGAAUGGAAUUCCAAAGUGUAGAUCCUACAACAAUGAAUAUUUGAUUAUUUAGAAGUUUUCCCAUAUUUCUUUACUUAGCCGGUAUUUAUUUAUUACAUUUCUAUCUCCACUCCUUAACUGCCUUUAGUACAAAAUGGUCUUUUAGUCCCUUCCCUGCCAUGAUCUGGUCUGCUCUUCACACAGACUCCCAGUUAAGGUUUUAGCCUGAAUGUCUGCCUGUUCAAUGUAUAGCAAGGUUAAAUGAAUAAUAAUCAUGUUUUCCUUUUAAACCUGCCUACCCUCAAUUCCCUUCCUAAACCUGAAAUAGCACUGAUCUUUUUUGAUAUGAGGCUCCUUUGUAUGUAAGCAGUGUGCUUAGUUUGCCUCAUGACUACAAGCAAGCAAAAAGCAAAAUGUGAACUUGCACCGGUUUCCUCUGCCUUGGGGUACAGUCCUAUGAAAGUUGAAAGGAGAAUUGGGGUGCGGGUGUUGCUCUAGGAGCAGAAGUUCGGACCUGAUCCUGCCUGGCUUAAAGAGGUGGGGAUUUUCACUGUGAACCUUUACAACCCCCAUGCCUAACCUAUAUUUCUGUCGCGGCAGCAUCACAUCCUGCAGCUACAUACAUGAAUUUUUAAAUAUUGUGUCAGAGGAAAUUAGAUGAGUUCGUGUUAGUACAAAUCUCCUUCCACUUUUUUUUGAGAGUGAUAGCAUGUGAGCAGAAGGGGUCAGGACGGAAUGUCUCUAUUAGUAAAGAUUUGUUGCUUGUUAUGGACUUAUGCUGUGAUGGGGAACUUGUGACUAACAACAACAACAGCAAUAAUAUCAGUAUGCCACCCAUCUGACUGGGCUGCCCCAGCCACUCUGGAUGGCUUCCAACAAAAACACAAUAAGACAUGAAACAUUAAAAGCUUCCCUAUACAGGGCUGCAUUCAGGUGUCGUCUGAAAGUCAGAUAGCUGUUUAUUUCCUUGAUAUCUGAUGGGAGGGUGUUCCACAGGGCGGGCGCCACUACUGAAAAGGCCCUGGUUGGAUUGCAACUGCCAUCAUUCCUGACCAUAGGCCACGCUGGCCGAGGCUCAUGGGAGUUGCAGUCUAACAGCAUCUCAAAGACCACAGGUCCCUGUGCCUGGAUGAAUGCAAAACAUCAGGGGUGAUUCUGGCUUUUUAAGACCCUUGGAUGGCUUACAGCACAAUUCUAAUUGUGUGGCCAGGUACCACAACUCCCAAAAUUGCAAACCCAAGACUUCAUGUGAGGCCAGGGCAACUUGAGCCUCUACGUCUAGGGGGUCUCACCAGCCUGACCUCUCCUCAGUGCCACAGUCUCCCCUCUCCCAAAAUUGCAAACCCAAGACUUCAUGCGAUGGCAGAACAACUUGGGCCUCUAAGUCUAGGGGGCCUCACCAGCUUGCCCGCUCCCCAGUGCCGCAGUCUCCCCUCUCCCAAAAUUGAAAACCCAAGACUUCAUGCAAAGGCAGGGCAACUCAGGCCCAGCAACUAUUAGACCCAGUAAGGCCCAAUUUGAAGCAGUGGGGCGCAACUUGAUUGUUUUUUUUUGUAGGGCCCCAGUUCACAGCUAAAGUCUGCAAAAUCUUAUAGAUAUAAAUAAAAUCCAUCCAGAUUGUCCUGGUGCAGGGACCCCUUUGGGCCAAUUGCCCAAUUGCUCAAAUUGCCUUAAGGUCAGCCCUGAUGAGAGUGUGCAGGGGUUGGACUGACAAGUCGUGCACCUUCUAGGUCCCUGGUGUCACCAUUCAGAGUACAGACUCAAGGACUUGUUGUGGAAAUAAAGGGUGGCACUUAUUGGAAAUCAGUUUUGUCACCUCUUCCCCCCCCCCAAACCCCGAGACAAUGAGCCCAGCCACAUUUUAUUCACAGUCACAUAAGCACUACACUACAGCAUGGCCAUAAACUUUGUAUGUUCAACAGCUGAAAUAUACACCCAAUAUGUAGCAAUGGAAAUUUAUGUUACUGCUUUAUGAAUGAACACUGUGUUUUAUGAAUGGACUCUGUAUUUUGUGAUUUACCUAAGAGCCACCAAUAGGGAGCUCUAGAAUCUGACAGCUAACCAAUUGGGUACUACCAAACAGCGCCCCCUAUUGCUGAAAGCAGGUAACCAGCAGGGAAUGCUUCAGCUCAGCCUUUGCACUGUUGACUGAACACCCCCUGCUGUGCAGAUAAUGGAGAAAGCUUGUAAAUUGUAUCCCUUCUGGCAUCCUGGCCAACUCUAUUACACUGGUGUAAACCCUGGUGCACCAGAAGCCCAGAAUAGCAGCAAAUAAAAUCCGCUCAUAUGUCAGCAACUGAUAAGACUUGUCAACCAGUUCUUACAAAGUCUUCCUAAAUUAUAAAGCUCCAAAAUACAGGCCAAAAGAGAGCAGGUCUGGGAAGAGUGAGGCAUUCAAUGGGCACCACCCGUGAAAAGGCCCUGCUCUAUGUAACUCCUGCUCUGUCAUUUGAUAGGGUGCCCACUUGCCCUCCUUCUUGACAUGGAAUGUUCUCUAUUGGAGUCUCCAGGUCCAGUACAUAGACCAUAAAAAGGGAGAGCAGGGACCUUGAAGUUCCCAACAGCUGUUAAUCAAGCAAGCAAGCAAGCGCGCACACACAGGUCACCUUCAUCACAGCCAGGACGCCUAUGUCCUGGCCAGGCCUGCACCCAAUUUUGUUUUUGUACAAUCUUGUUUGUUCUCAGUAACCAAAAUUAUAUUAUCAACAUAUACAAGCAGGAAAGUUGUUUUCCUUCAUUUGCAAGGAAUCGUACAAAACAAAGUGGCACUAAUAAAGAAAAGUUCCAUGCACAUGAUGUGUGAUGCUAAUUAUUUUGCCCAAGUUAAAUGAUAACUAAUCAGAGGCAGCUACAGGAAAGCUAUGAGAUUCAGGUGAGGGUCGGAUGCCUUGUCAAUCCCAGCAGGUAUAUAAGAGGAUGACCAGGCCUGCACAGGCCUCCAAAGCUGAUUCCAGGGUGUAGCCACCAUUGCAGGCAGGAUGGUGGACAAACUACCCCAGAAGGAGCACAACCCCCUGUGAUUGGCCAGUUAGGCAGUAAGGCAGAAUUUAAUCUUCCUGGCUGCUGGAAGGGGAGUUAUCCCAUUGCCAGCCAGGAUUCCACCAGCCAGGCAGCUUCCGUCGGCUGGUGGGAGGCAAUGCUACUGCCUCUUGGAAGUAGGUAAGCAGACCUAUGCCUACUCAGAAGUUACUCCCAGGUAAAUAGGCGAAACAAAAUAAAAAAAUCCUUCCAGUAGCACCUUAGAGACCAACUAAGUUUGUUAUUGGUAUGAGCUUUCGUGUGCAUGCACACUUCUUCAGAUACACUGAAACAGAAGUGUAUCUGAAGAAGUGUCUGAAGAAGUGUGCAUGCACACGAAAGCUCAUACCAAUAACAAACUUAGUUGGUCUCUAAGGUGCUACUGGAAGGAAUUUUUUUAUUUUGUUUCGACUACGGCAGACCAACAUGGCUAUCUACCUGUAACCAGGUAAGUAGGGUUAGGAUUGCACCCUUAGCCUAAGAAGUUCAAUUGUUGAUGGAGAAAUAAGCAGUGGCAUGAUCAGGACAUGCAGAGUGGAAGUAUGGCUCAGCAUCCCUGCACAUGUUCUGCUUCUGAUCUUAAUACAGUGGUACCUUGGUUUAAGAACAGCCCUGUUUACGAACUAUUCGGUUUACGAACUCUGCAAAACCGGAAGUAGUGUCCCGGUUUGCGAACUUUACCUCGGUCUACAAACAGAAGCCGAACAGUGGAAGGGCACCGGCAGCGGGAGGCCUCAUUAGGGAAAGCGCGCCUCAGUUUAAGAACGGUUUUGGUUUAAGAACAGACUUCCGGAAUGGAUUCAGUUUGUAAACCGAGGUACCACUGUAGUGUGCUUUGUGUCCUGGCUGGAUCCUGCUACACCAAGUGGGAGACAAGGCGAUGGCAUUGGCUUUUGGUUCUGGACUCAGCUUUGGUACAAGUCAGGAGCUUAAAGUAUGAUAUGAUGUUGCGUUCAGAGCAUGGCUUGUUCUGAAGCAGAGAGCCAUAACAUCCUAGUCUGAACACAAUGGGAAACAAUGGUUAGUUAGACACUCCCUGGUCUAACUGUGGGAUGUGAAAGUGGAGGAGUGAAUGGGAUCCAUGCAUGAAGAAAAGGUUUGUGCAUAUCUCAGCUGAAUCACAACCAGGUCAUUCUCUCUCAGCACCAGGUCAUUCUCUCUCCUACCUCACAGGGUUGUUGUGAGAAUAAAAAAGGGGGCUAUUCAUGCCUACUUCGGAGGAAAGGCAGGUUAUACAGGGUGAGUCUUUUAAAAGAGGCCCCGUGGAACAUGUGUACUCGGUAUCCAUGGGCCCUCUUUUAAAGGACUCACCCUGUACAGUCAUACCUCGAGUUGAAUGUGCUCUGUGGCAACCCGGAAGUAACGGUGCACGUUAUUUCCGGGUUUCGCCACUCGCGCAUGCGCAGACGCUCAAAAUGACAUCACGCGCAUGCGCAGAAGUGGCGAAACACAACCCGCGCAUGUGCGCUGUCGCGUCUUGCGUUCCGUUCGGGAUGCGAACGGGGCUCUGGAACAGAUCCCGUUCACAUCCCGAGGUACCACUGUAUAUGUAAUAAUUUAACUAACUAGAAAAAUAAAACACACUUGUGUCGCUGCAAAAAAAAAAAAAAAAUUGUAAAAAACUGCCAAUCCUCUUUUCAUUUUUGCUUUCCUCCCAUACCAAAAAGACCAAAGUUUUCGGCCUACAAAGAAAAUGGUGCCCUUGCUUGAGCACUCAGAAGAAUUUCCUUGAACAUCUCUAAGGCUUUAUGCGCCCUCUAAUUGGAAAACACAAAUCAUAUAAACUAAACAGUUUGUGACCUGGGGUAAACUAUAUUAUUAUUUUUGUGUGUGCAAAAGAUGGCAAAAUAUGAAAGAAAAACAACACGCGAUUGAAGUGAAGAUGAAAGCUCCUUUAUUGUCCUGGCAAGGUAUGAAAUAUCCAAUAUGUAAAGUUUGAGCAAACUUCAAAAAAGAUUCAUGUUGCAAAAACUAAGGUGUUAAAACAGGAGGGGGAAAUGGCAAAUUGUUCCUGCAUGAAAAGAUUCUACAACUCCUUUCAUUCUGAAAUUACUUUGGCAAGUAAUUCCGUGGAUCAAAGCUGCAUUCCACAUAUGCUCCUCCAUUAAUGAGGUGCUUGGAGUAUAAUUACUCAUACCUUUUCCCUCUCUUAACAGCUGAGCGGAAGCGUUCUCUAGGCAAAGACUACCAUCCCCUUUGUCUGAAGUGCUACCAUUGCAAACGGCAGCUCAGCCCUGGCCAGCAUGCUGAGGUAGGAAACAAACCAUCACCCCAUCUGUCUGCUUCAGUGACUUGCUACACCCUGACAGCAAUCUGUCUCUCCCGGCGGAGGGCUCCGCUUCCAAAGGCCUGCCUGGGAUUGAGUUGCUGCCACCAAAGGCUGCUUAGAAGUGCUUUAAUGUGAUGGCUGGGGAGACGGGAAGGAAGAUGCACAGGCUAUGGUUACUUGGAAACUGGGGAAAUGCCUGUCAAGGGUACACGUGUGUGCAGAGGGUAUACGUGUGUGCAGAGGGAAGAUAUUGCAAGGCUCCCAGUGUGUAUGGGCAUGCAAUGGGUCUCCCUACAGAGGUGGGCGAAUCGGUUAAUUUCAGUCUCUCCUUUCUCCAAUCUCAAAUUGAGUUUGGCACAUUUCCACAAAUAUUUGUUUUUUCAAAGGUCCUCAAAUCAGAUUCGUCUGCCACAUCUCUUCUUAAUGGACACACAUUUCUGCCUAAUAUACAUGCUUUUGCAAGCAAUUUCCCUUAAUAUUGCAUGUUAUGCUCACCAGCAUGUGAAUUUUUAUGUAGAUUUACCCAUAAUAAAUGCAUGCGUUCUUGAACACAUUUUUGGAAGUUUGACGAACUCCAUCACAGAAUUCGGAUCAGUGAGAAUUUUGAAGGACAGCUGCGCUUCAUUUUGCAGUUUGUUUUGGGUACUGUGAAUUAGGUAGGUUUGCAUUAAAAUAUGGACCAACCAGAACUUCUCCUCCCAUCCUUACCUCUGUACGUAGGAACACAAGAAGCUGCCUCAUAAUGAGCCUGACUUGUAGUUCAUCUUAGAUUGGGGUCUCUCCCAGCCCUGCCUGUAGAUGAUUCUGGGACCUUCUGCACAAAGUCAUGAUAUAGGCGGCCCCAGAGUUUCUUGUCAGGUUUGUCCCAGGCCGUACAAUUAUGGCAGGUGGGUUUUGCCUCCUACUGUAGUUUACAGGAGAAAGGAAAAGGAUCACUCUGGGAUCCCAUCAGGGUGAAACCUAAGUCUGCCCUUUGACGCCCAUCACUAGUUGGCCAUGACCAGUGCCUAGUAUUGGAAGCAAGGAAGUUUCAAAGGGAAAUGGGCUUGGAGCUCAAACAGGGAUCUGUAAUCCCAGCAAGAGGCAAACAGAGAUUAAGAUGCUUAUACCUUCACUGCCCGGGAUGCGGGUGGCGCUGUGGGUAAAACCUCAGCGCUUAGGACUUGCCGAUCAUAUGGUCGGCGGUUUGAAUCCCUGCGGCGGGGUGAGCUCCCAUCGUUCGGUCCCAGCUCCUGCCCACCUAGCAGUUCGAAAGCACUCUUAAGUGCAAGUAGAUAAAUAGGUACCGCUUUAUAGCGGGAAGGUAAACGGCGUUUCCGUGUGCUGCGUUGGUGCAGGCUCGCCAGAGCAGCUUCAUCACGCUGGCCACGUGACCUGGAAGUGUCUCCGGACAGCGCUGGCCCCCAGCCUCUUAAGCGAGAUGGGCGCGCAACCCCAGAGUCGGUCACGACUGGCCCGUACGGGCAGGGGUACCUUUACCUUUACCUUUUACCUUCACUGCCAGCCCCUCUGCUUCCUGUUCAUCAUUGCUCACAGCUCAAUCUUCUCCGACUUCCUCCCUUCCUGCCCUCCCUUCCCUCAAGGGAACUCCUGGUAAGGAAGCUUUUUGGCAGCCAAACAAGAACUUCUGUACCAAUGCUGGACUUCCUACCUGGACCACUGAAGGCUUUAUUCUUGAGGUCCAGAGAGUGAAAGAGGAGAACUUGAGAUCUGAGGCAGGACUUGGGAUGUCGUCAGAGAAAGAGGGCCAUUUGAGAAGUUCAUGAGAUGAGGUGCCUCAGGACUAUAGCAGUAGUACUGAGGUUUUCAUUGGGAUCUAUGACACGUUCAGAAGAGGUCUCCCUAGGGUUUAUUCUGGUUGGGUGGGAUCCUGACAUCAGUACUUCAAGGGGGCCAAAGUGUUGUUCUCUCUUAAGUACGCUCCAGAUUGUGUCCUAUUUCUUUUGUCUCAUAGACAAAAGAAGCUGUUGAGUUUGGAGGUUGCCCCCAUCUGCUUAGCCCCAUCUUAUCAUUUCAGUCAGGAAGCCCCUUUCUUGCACAGAGACUAGCUAAAAGACUUGCCAAGUCUGACGGGUGGCGUAUGGUACAGGGAACCACCCUUGGCCUCAGCAAUUCCAAGAUGAAUCUCUGAGCACCAUGACAAGUCGAAAAAAUGUAAUAUUGGCCAUGGCGUCAAUGAAAGGAGAAAGGGUGCACAGAUAGAGUUCCAAUGAGUACAAGCUGCCUGCAAGACAACCCUAAACCAUAGCUGGCAACUUACAGAUUUGAAAAUAAGGGACCAGCAGCCUCGAAAAUAAGGGAUCAGCAGCCAAAAUAAGGGAUUUUCCAAGCACAGGUAUGUUCAACUUCUGAGCCCCUCCAAGCCAAAGGCAGAAAGCCCAGCCAGCAGCCAAACGAAGCCUCAAGCAGUGGUUCCCACAGCGCAGCAACCCGGCAAAGGGGAUGCAGCAAGGAAAACCACUGUCACCUCUCCGCUGGGAAGCGCUGAGCAAAGGCGAGUCCCCAAGCAACAUGGCCGAUUUGAUUGGCACAAGGAAUCCAAGCUCCACCCCCCCAGUCGUUCUUAGACUCCUUAUUGGGUGAGCAACGCAGCCAAGCAACACAGUUGGAGCCUCCCUUCUCCCUGGCCGGCAGGGAGGGUGGGAGAGGAGCUGCUUCCUUUGAAAUCCGGGAAAUUUAAGGGACAUCAUCAAUAAGGGACAGCAGCGGUACACAGCGCUGGGAUAAGGGACUUUCCCGCCAAAUAAGGGACGGGUGACAGCUAUGCCCUAAACCAGUGUUCCUCAACCUGAUGUAUGCUAGAUAUUUUGGUCUACAACACUUGACAGUCCUGGUCAGCAUGGCCAAUGGUCUGGGGUGAUUGGAAGUGUAGUGCAAAAUAUAUAGAGGGCACCAGGUUGGCCAUGGCUGCCCUUAGCAUCUUCUUUCUAAAUUACCCAGUUGGGUUGGAGGCAUAGACAGAGGAACAUGGGAAGCCACCUUACAUCAAGUUGGACCAUGGGUCCAUCUAGAUCAAUAUUGUCAGUUCUGACUGGCAGUAGCUCUCCAGGGUUUCAGACAGGGAGUCUUACCCACCUCAACCAGGGAGUGUUAUGGAUUGAACCUGGGACCUCUUCCUGCAGUCAUUGCAGCAGACACGGGUCAGUGACAACAUUAUGUAGUUCAUAUGCAGCUGACUUGGAGACAUCUGUGCAGAAAUUUUAGUUGAGCCGUAAAGUAUUAUCUCUAAAUCACUUGAAGUCAGAAGGGUAGAUAACGACCAAGAAACAUUCUCAUUCCGAUUCGGGAAAGGGACCUGCGAAGCAAUGGCUUUCUUGUGCUCGGUAAUGGAAAAGAGAAUCGAUUCUAAUACGGUUCUUCCAGGGCAAGCCCAAAGCAAGAGAUUUCAGCUUACCAUCGCUGCAAAGUGGUUUCCCGAAGAAUGUCUGAUCCAGUUUUGUUGCAUUAAAUCAAGUUAUCUUCAUGGGGAUGUAUGAAAAAUUCAUUGUAUAUGGAACAGCACUAAUAUUUGCACAGUAUGUGCCACAGGAUGAGGGGAAAAAUACUGAGCAUCUUUUCAGCCACAUUUGAAAUCCUUGGGGGAAUCAAGUCAUGAAGCAUAAAAACUUACAUUUGCAGGAUCAUUUCCCGAGAUUCUAUACCCUCCCCCCUGGAUUUUUUUCCUGCACCAUUGAGCUCUAGAUUUAAAAAAUACAGGCCUACUAUGCAUGAUCUUACAAGCAUCAGUUUGUUUAGAGAGGUCUGAGGAUGCACAAAGUGCACUAGAUGGUUUCCUUCACUACAAUUGUUUAUUACAUACGUCUUUUUAAUACGCUGGUUUUGGCAGUAUGGGGUUUGGUAAGGAAUGACCAAGAGGGACACGGGUGGCACUGUGGUCUAAACCACUGAGCCUCUUGGGCUUGGCGAUCAGAAGGUCUGCAGUUUGAAUCCCUGCGACGAGGUGAGCUCCUGUUGCUCUGUCCCAACUCCUGCCAACCUAGCAGUUUGAAAGCACGCCAAAAAAGUGCAAGUAGAUAAAUAGGUACCGCUCCGGCGGGAAGGUAAACAGUAUUUCCAUGCGCUGCUCUGGUUUCACUAGAAGUGGCUUAGUCAUGCUGGCCACAUGACCCAGAAAAACUUCUGUGGACAAACGUCGGCUCCCUCAGUCAGUAAAGCGAGGUGAGCGCUGCAACCCCAGAGUCAUCUGCGACUCGACUUAACUGUCAGGGGUCCUUUACCUUUACCUUUAAGGAAUGAUCAGGAUCCAAAGAGGUCUGUGCCCAUUCCCAAAGAAGGUUAAUAAGUCUGCAGGAUUUUGCUAAUUUUGCUUCCACUGCAGAAGCCUCUUGUGUUGUCUGGGUUGCUGACCUUUGUGAAUUGUUUGGGAGAAAUUCUUCCUUUCAACCUGCUAUUCGUAUUCAGAGGAAAUCCCAUAUUGGCCCCCAGUGGAGGAUUUCUUCCCAAAACAAAAAGCACUUUCAGAGGAGGGGAGAGUUGAACUUCACGGCCCUCCAGCUGACAUCCCACUAAUGAUCAGCACCCACCCCAAAAAAAACCCAUUUGUGUCAAUUAGGGAUGGAAGGUUCUAUCACUUUGGUUCUCUCAGUUUCUCAUUUUUCCAAUCUUAAAUUCCGUUCUCCACAUUUUGCAGCAAUUUGUGAAUUUUUCAUUUGUAAAAUCCUCAUGAAAAUCCAUCUGCGUGAAUUUCUCCUAAUAUGCUGUUAUGAUGGCUGUGCACAUUUUUUUGCAAGCAAUUCCCCCCAAUAUAACACAUUUUUGUAUGUCAUUUUUCUCCAAUAUGUUCACUUUUAUGCACCUUUUCCCUCAGCAUAUAUAUUUUUUGUGAACCUUCAUUGGCUGGGGAAUUGCAUCCCAAAAUCUGGGUAAGCGCAAAUUUCAAAGGAUGGCUGUGCUGCAGCUGGCAUGUUCUUUCAGAAUGGCAGUGCAAAAUUUGGAAGAGUGCAAAUGUUAAAAGAUACAUAGCUGUGUUUCAGUUCUCAUAUUGUUCUGGAAACUGCAAAGGUUAACACCAUGGCUGGUUUAGGUCAGUGCUGGGAAAGAGCCCUGUUUGAGGCCCUGGAGAGCCAGUCACAGUAGAUAACAAGAGUCUGCAUCAGUCUGAUGUAACAUAUCCUCGUAUGCCUUGUCUCACAGGGUGGGGAGAGCAAGGCCAAAAUUUCACACACACACACACACACACACACACACACACCCCCCACCCUCAUGCUGACUUUCCAAAGCCAGUUAAGUGAGGCACCAGUUUUUGGGAAGGAGGCACGAUGCUCUUGCAUGAUCCUAGAGUCCUCUCACCUUCUUCCCAAAGCUGGGCAAGCUCUAACUAGGCUUUGGAAAGGAGGUGGGAGGACUCUAGGACCCCAUCAGAGCCCUCACACCUCCUUCCUAAAACCCAGCACCUCGCUUACCUGGCUUUGAGACUGUCUUAAUUGACUCAGCCUUGUAGAAUAUUACAUAAUUAUAUAGUGCCGUUGAGCAUGUGAAGAGUGCCUCUUCCUCACCAUUGUGGGAAAUCUGAGACAUAAUCCUGGAUGAAGAGGCAAAGCUUGCAGGCUGCUCAGAUCUUAUUACUUCAAGUCAGGCUUCAGUCCUGGCUAUUCUCCAUUUAUAAAUUAACCGCUACAUGCUGCCGGUGGAGGUACCAUUCUAGUGAACAGAGCGUGACCUGUCAAUGAGCAUCCAAGUCAGGCUGCCCCAAGGCGUUCCAGCUUUGGAGAACAGGCUGACCUCUGGGUGGGGUUGCUCUGCAGGUACCCAAAGAACAUUUCUGAUGUCAUCAUUGGCCAUGCUAAGUGCAGACUAGGGAUGAAAGGAUCUGUCAAUCUUGGUUCUCUCGGUUUCACAUUUUUCCAUAUCUUAACUGUAGUUUUCCAUACUUCCAUAGCAAGUUGCAAUUUAAGAAAAAAUCAUGGAAGUUCACCAGCAUUUUCAUUUCACUAUUCUCCUAAAAAACAUUUUGGUAUGCAGUUUUGAUAAAUGCAAUUUUGCAAGCAACUCCUAAUAUAAUGCAACAUAAUGCAACUUUCCCUGAUAUAUUCAUUUUCAUGUGCACAUCCCCCUAAUAUAUGCAACCUUCGCUGGCUGGAGAACAGCACCACAAAAUCUGGAUAAGUGCAAAUUUCAAAGAAUGCCUAUCAAGUGUUCAUGCCCUCCAACAUUUCUCCGAUGAAAUUAGGGAUGUCCCAUUCCAUAAUGAUAUUUAUACCCCACACGUCUUACUGGGCUGCCCCAGCCACUCUGAGCAGCUUCCAGCAAAUAUAAAAACAUAAUAAAACAUUAGACAUUUUAAAAAACUUUCCUAUACAGGAUUGCUGUCAGAUGGCUCGGGGGUUGGAUAACUCCACACCCUCCAACAUUUCUCCAAUGAAAAUAGGGACAUCCUAAGGAAAAGCGGGACAUUCCAGAUCAAAUCAGAAACUGGGAUGGCUUCUCUAAAUUAGGGAAAAUAGGAACACUUGAAGGGUCUGUAGGUUAACCUUUAAAUGUGACCUGUAUCACAUUAUUCCCUGCCCCUAGUGCAGAACAAACCCUUCUUUGGAUAAAAAGCAAAGUGAAGUAUGGAAUAAUGGCAAGUUAUUAACUAUGAUCUCUCAGUGAAGGCUGUGAGAGCUUCCCACACUCCAUUCUGCCAUUAAACCCUCAUCCUGCCCUCCUGUGUAACAGCCAUGUGUUUUACUCUGCAUGAUCACACCCACAUCUUUGCCAGAGUUUAAAUCCCAUUAACAGGAACAUUUGGGGGAGGCAUAAUGACAUGCAUUGUAAUAGCUUUAGAGUCAAGGUAUGUUUUGAAUGAUUGGGGGGGGGACAUUAAUAAUAUGAAAGGGUAGGGGGCUGUCUCUUCUACUCAUUGACUGUUAGAAGGGUCCUAUUGCAUAUACCUCGUGCAGACGCUAUAAAUAAUUUUCUAUUAGCACCUGGCUUAAGGUUAAUAGUUAGGCUUCAAGAGGAAAAUGACCUGGCUGGAUUUAAACAUUUCUGGGGUAGCAACAGGCAAUCCAAACUUGCAAAGCAAUUUUCAGCGGGCAUUGAGUUAUUGAAAGGGAGAAAAAUAAUUCCAUAUGCAAUGUAUAUCUUAUAUGUAACAUUUUCAGUUAAAUUGAUUUAUAAGAACAUAGGGAGUUGCCUAAAACAGAACCAGAGCAACAGCCCAUUUUGUCUAUAGCAGGGACGGGCAGACUUUAGGCUUGUCAGGUCCCAGGGUUCUAGUAAAACAGAAACCAAAACCAGAAAGGAUCUGCCAAGUAGAGACAGGUGUAAAAGGCGUACUGUCCAUCUCGAGAGACAAUGGAGUGCACCUCCGGAGGUGAAGUCAAACCACUGUGUUAGCAGCUCCAAAGUGACCUUCCAUGGUGUGCAAGCCUGGGCAAUGUGUGUGGAGGUCCUGGGCUGCAAAGACAGCAAGACUUCCCUCUCCGCUUUGCUGAUGUUGUCCAAAGGAAAGCAGAGCAAUACAAUACAUUGGCACCAGCUUGGCUGCAGGAGUUGCAGGAAGGAGGUGUACAUGGCACCAUCCAACCGUCUUAGGGACACCAUCUGUGUAGGGUUUCCUCCUUACCUUUCCCUUCUCCCGAAGAUAUCCUUCAAGGCAGCAGAAGCACACACACAGUUCCAUUUUAUAUUAUCACUGUCACUGUCAGAAGCUCCCAUGCAGAAAACUGCUGAACUUUGGAUAACAUUCAGCUUGACAUCUUUUCUCUCUCUGCUUUAAAUCUCGGCUCUAAAUCAACAUCUUUCAUAAAGCCUUUCUUAAAUCACCAGGGAUUCACCUGUUCUGUGUUAAUUUCGCUCCUGCCUUCACAUUUGAUGCAUCUAGGGAUGCCUGAGGAAUUAAAUUUCUGUGAAUUCCAGUGUGAACUCACCUGAUCCGCACCUCCUGGACUAGUGUGCGGAUCAGAAUGUAAUUAUCCUUCAGAUUGUGCACCUCUCCAAAUCUUGUGACGCUGUUCGCAGUUUUUUAAAAAAGGUAUUAAAGUGCAUAUUUUACUAUAAAAUGCAUUUAGAAAUGCAUACACUGAGAUGAAAUAUGGAUUUAAGUGUGGAUUUUUUUUUUAAAAAGUGCAGAUUACUGCAGAAACGGGAUGGAACAGACUUAUGAAUCAACACAUAGGAAAAUGACAUAAGCUCGAAAUAGGCUGAUAUGCCCAUCCCUAGGCAACUUUGCAUAUUGUUCCCACCCACGUGAUAGGAAGCUGCAAGGGCAGCCUGUUGCAGUGUAGUGAAGACUUAUGGUGCCUUUUAUAACUAGCUAUUUAUUCACAAAUGUACAGGCCAAGCUGACGCAAAUCAAGCAUGUGCCCUGGUAAAAUUAGUCCCAACCAUAUCAGUCUACCUCCCCAGUAUCCCACAAUUUCCUGUGGCUUAGCAAUAUUGCUGGAACAAUUCCCAGGCUUGAGAUGCUUUGACCCUCUGUUGCUGGCAAUCAAAUACUAAAAGCAUUCUUCCAGCCCAGGUGGGUUUGAGCAGCCAGUGGCCAUCAACAACCGGGAAGCAGGAUGACUUCCGGGGUGGCGCCAUCGGCAAUGGCGGACUCCCUCUGAUCUGGAGGGACUAGCUCCACACGAAACGGGUCUUUUCCGCUACGGCAAAGCGGGGACCCUUUCAAAAAUCACAGGCGGAUGAAGCCUGUGACCAUGGGACUCGGCGGGCACCUUUAGCGCCCCCCCAACCUUUAGCGCAAAAGAACCCACUAACGGGCUCCAGAGUGAAGAGGGGGAAGUGGCGUGGUGCUGAGAGUCAAAUGCUUCUUCCGUGGAGCGAAGCCGCACAGCCGUUGCCGGAGAGCGCUGCCUUUUUCCUGGGACAAUUUGGCUUCUAAAAUAAUCACCCGUGAGUACUUAAAUUUCGGACAAUUGGACUUUAAAUAAGGACUUGUGAGCAGAAAGGAAAAUUGGACUUAAAAGUUUACCUCAAUUUGGCACUGAAACGGGAAGGUCUAAACAGGAAGUCAGCCUUCCGUUUUUUUUUGUAGAUAGAUUAAAGCAAAGACAUGGCAAACUAGAGCUCAGAAAAUCGCUUGUAAAAGAUUAACUUUCAUCAUUUAAAAUUGUUGAACCCCCCUUCGGAAGCAGGAGAAGAGGGGGGAUUUUUUUGGACUGUUUAAACCUGCAGAAGUGAGUGUAAAGUAAAGUAACUUUCCACCGUCCUGAUCCUGGAGCGGGGUGUCAGGACUGACGUUUUUUGAAGCUCAUUGACCAGAGACAAACGUUUUUGACAGAUAGCUAUAAGAAGAGAAACAUUGAUUCCAUUGUUCCCAUUCGCAUUUUAAAGGAACAAAUAUUGACAAAAUUUCUGAAAAAGGAAACUUUGUUGUUAGACUUGUCUUUAAAAGAAAGAACAAAUAGAAGUUUUCCCCCUAGAGGGAGACUGUGAAACUGUAACCAACUCCGGGGAGCUUGUAGCUGUUACAGAUUACAAUCGUGGGAAUAGACUUCUGACCUUGCAGGACAAUGUAUUCAGAAGCUCUGUUGCGUGCUUUUUGUAAAACAAAUGCCCUACUGGAACAGCUACAUGAGAAGACAGAUUUGAUGACUGAUGCGAUCAGAAAUUUUGAACAGGCAGUGGGAAAUUAUACGGAGCCCACCCAGGAAUUAAAUCAGGAGUGUGCCCUGACAGAACAGAUGAGGGAAGAGGAUGUUGCUGAAUCUUGGGCGCCAGAGAUGAAGGGAGCUGUGGCCCAGCAGGAACAUGAGCUUUUGGACUUGACAAAUGAACUUGGAAAAAGCCAGAUUUGGAAAGAUAAAGUUUGGUUUGGUUUGGAAAUGGGGGGUUGGAUAGACCCCCCUAUGCAGGGAUGUUUGGACCUUUCAAGUCUGGCAAUGGGCCGUGAGAUGUUUGGGGUUGUGGAGGCUCUUAAUUUUGGAGGGAUUUUGAAACAUGUUCUUAAAUACCACAUGGAGUUUAGUGUGGACUAUGGAAAAGGGGCUGAUUUGUCGAAAAGGGUCAAAAACAUUGUUAAACUGGAGUUCCCACGAGUGAAAGGAGCAGGAGACAAAGGAAAAUACAGUUAUAAAUAUGAAGAAGAGCUGCGGAAGGGACAUGGAAGAGACUUAAGGGCCUCGGAUACAAGGUUACCAGGUUAAUGCGCUAGAUCGAUGAGAUAAUAAGGACUGACAAAACCCGGAACCAGGAGGAAGGGACGCUGGAUGAAGACUGGAUUGUUUUUAUUUCUUUUUUUUACUACUAGGAUUGUUUUAUAAAAUUGAUGAAUGUUAGAAAAAUGUUGGAACGAAAUUACUUGGCUUUAGCAAAAAUGUUUAAAGAAUUAUGUAAGAAUAUUAUGGUUAUGAGAAGUUGGUAAAAAUAAGAUUUAAGAUUUAAGUUUUAAACUUUAAGGUUCUUUAUAGUAAGAUAAGAUUAAAAUAGAUUAAGGUAAUGUAAUGACAGAAUAUUAUGAAAUAUGGAAAGGAUUUGAUGCGACAAUUAACAACUAGGAUACAAAAAAAGGGAGGAGGAGGAGGUCAAAGAAAGAAGGUAAUGACAGUUGAGGAUUUGAGAAUGAUGGAUUUGUUUUUGAGUGUUUGUGGUGUAUUUUUGUUUUUUUGAAUUUGUAUUGUUUGAUGUGGUUUGUUUUUUUCUUUUUUCUUUUUUUCUGCUUUGUUCUCUUUUGUAAUUCUAAAAAUUUUCAAUAAAUAUCAUUAAAAAAACAACAACAACAACCGGGAAGCAGGAUCCUAUCACCUUCCAGAAAGUUCCCAUCAAGGGAGGGGGGCAGCAACUUUCACAUCAGGCUGUGUCUUGUACAAUAGCCUGCACGGCACUAGCGACAUGUAAGUGUCCUUAGCAAAUCUGGGAGAACUAAUCUUUCUUCUGUUCUACUUUCACAGCAUGAUGACAAACCUUACUGCACCCACUGCUACCUUCAGCGCUUUGGACCCAGAGGUAAACUCCUAUCCCAUGAACCAGUUGUCCUGCACUUGCAGAGAAGAGCUACAAUUCUCAGAGCCAAUUCCUCUUCACAUAGAACUCUGGCAAUUGUAUCUUUGGGAAGGGAAUUGGGGUCUCCUAACAACUCUUAAACCACAGAGCCUAGGACUUGCCGAUCAGAAGGUCGGCGGUUCGAAUCCCUGUGAUGGGGCAAGCUCCCGUUGCUCGGUCCCUGCUCCUGCCAAUCUAGCAGUUCAAAAGCACGUCAAUGUUCAAGUAGAUAAAUAGGUACCGCUCCGGUGGGAAGGUAAACAGUGUUUCCGUGCGCUGCUCUGGUUCGCCAGAAGCGGCUUAGUCUUGUUGGCCACAUGACCUGGAAGCACCUGCAGAGAGAGUGGAGCACCUGCAGGCAAUGGGUCCUCCAUCGCCUCAGGAGCCAGAGCAGACUCAGCUGGUGCCUGCACCUGAGGAUCCAGCACAGGUGAGGACCCUUCAGGCUCAAGCCCCAGCUCAGCUGGUUCUGGAGGCGGGGACUCCUGUGCAGGCUGGGAUUCCUCAGGUUCAGCCUCCGAGUCCGAAUCCCAGGCCAUCACACCUGGGCAGCACGGGCAUAUGCUCCGUCACUGCCCUAUUCACCUCUUACAUAUUCCUUGAGAGAGAGCAAGGAGAUUGUGUGAAGACCCGUCAUGCAAUGCUGUUCUGUCUUCCAUUGAACUGGCUGCAUGUAACUCUUGAUGAUGACGUACAAUUCCCAGCUGAGGCAACUCGCUGUUGUGCAAACUAGAGCUGGGUCAGGGCAAAGAGAAAACACAACACCAAAUUAAAUCCACAAUCUUCCUGCAACGAGUCAUUUGGGAUUUUCUCAGAACGACCGUCAGAGAGACCUGCUAGCAAUUUGUGCUUGUGGGAUGAUUCAGGUGACUGGGCCAUCGCAUGCCCACGCCAGAUGGAAAGAUUGGCUUGCACAGAUUGAAAUAAACCCCCAUUUAUCCUUGCAACAUCAACUCCCCUGCCAAACGGACUAUAUAGGUCUUUUCUUGAAAGAUACUACCAUACAUUUAAAGUGCACCACUACCCCUAAAGAAAGGGACGUGGGUCGCGCUGUGGGUUAAACCACUGAGUCUCUUGGGCUUGCUGAUCAGAAGGUCAGCGGUUCGAAUUCCCGUGACGGGGUGAGCUCCCAUUGCUCGGUCCCUGCUCCUGCCAACCUAGCAGUUCGAAAGUACGUCAAAGUGCAAGUAGAUAAAUAGGCACCGCUCCGGCAGGAAGGUAAACGGCAUUUCCGUGCGCUGCUCUGGUUUCGCCAGAAGCGGCUUAGUCAUGCUGGCCACAUGACCUGGAAGCUGUACGCUGGCUCCCUCUGCCAGUAAAGCGAGAUAAGCGCCACAGACCCAGAGUCGUCUGCAACUGGACCUAAUGGUCAGGGGUCCCUUUACCCCUUUACCCCUAAAGAAUCCUGGCAACGUUUUUGUUAAGGGUGUUGGGAGUCGUAGCUCCAUGAGGGGGUUAACUACAGUUCCCAGGAUGAAAUGUGCUUUGAGGUAUGGUGUGUACACAGCCUAUAAACCACUCAUCGUCUUAAUCUGUCUCUAGCUGCUUCCGUGAAAGUUCAGCCUCUUGCUUCAGGGAAACUUUUGGGGUGUGCAGCAAGAAAAAGGCGCUUGGUUUCACUUGCAUCAACUUGGCCAGAAGCCAGCCUCCGCUCUGUGCCUGGCAUCUGGCAUAAAGGGGUGAGAAAGGUGAAAAGGAACGAGCUGCUAAUUCCCUCUCCCUUCAUACACGGUGGGCCUGCCACUUAGUCAGCAAGCCUUUUCCUCGCUGCAGCCAAGUGGAACAUAAUACCAUAUGUUGCUCUCCAAUUAUGGCGGUGGGAGAGCCCAGCUCUCUCUCAGGAGGGAAGAGGGAAGAGGUCUAGAGCAGUUCUGUUCUUCUGCUUGGUAUCCAUCUGGAGCAGGGUGCAUGGGCAGGAAAGACACUCCGAUGACCCGAUAGGUAAACUGCUGUGUAUGUAACACACCUUUUUUUUCUUUAAUACCUUGGUAAAUCCUUUUAAGAACUUGCUUCUGGCUUCUCGUAAAGAGUCAAACUUGGUAUCUGAUCAUUCAGAAUAUGGUGGAAUAGUGAGGAUAAACAUGGAAGGGCCUGGAGUGAGUUUCAUUUAAUCGUAUGGUAAACCUAAAUUAUCUUGGGCCCUUUUAUACUGCCUUUGUCAUCAUUGUUUCAGAAUUGGGUCCUUCUACUUUCUGCUGUCCGUGACCCAUGGCUGGGUUUGCAUCCAGGUUUCUAAAGCAGCAAAUUAAAUUUUCAAGUACUUGGAUUAGCAUGCACAUUUGUAAUGCCUAGGUCUGGAUUUUGAUCUUGUGUUCAAGGUCAAGGCUUGUUUCAUGGUUGAAAUAUUUAUACCCCUUCUCUCAAUUGCUAUUUUUGUGUCAUCUAUGUGAGGUUGGUUGCAUUUACUUCAGAGAUCAUAGAUGUCUGUUCAGGGUCAUUAUCCUGAGUUAACAACCCUUGUUUAAACAAGAAAGAAGCCUCUUUUGGGUUGCUGCUGAGGUCCCUUUGCUUCCAGUCUUGAUUCAUUGUGUUCCUGCACUAAGUUCUGAACUCCAUCCAGCAUAUCAGACCAAUAUAGGAAGUUGUGUUACAUUAAAUCAUACCAUUGGUUCAUCUAGCAGUCUACAUUGACUGACAGCAGCUCUCUAAGGUUUCUGACAGAGGUUUCUCCCCUUCCUACCUGGAGACAGGUAAACUGAAUUUGGGGCCUUCUCAUGCAAAGCAGAUUCUCCACUAUUGAGCUACAGCCCAACAUCUGCUGAACAUCACAUGGUAGAACUGUUCCUGGACUGUGUUAUUUCUGGCUGCAAGUGGGGACUGCAUUACUGCAUUGUUUUAUUUUAAAACUCCCUGCACAUAGAAAGCUAAGUAAUAAGUAUUCUUGCCCAUCUUCCUCCUUGACUUGAAAACCCACACCUGCAAGUAAUGGUUUUCAGGAUCACUGAGUGUGGUCCAUGUGGUGGGCUGUUUGCUAAAGAGCCUUGAGAUUCAGUGGUCCAACAUACCUGUAUAUAGGAUGUUCUCUUUAGCUAUCAUGGCUAAUGCCUGUUGAUAGACCUGUUCUCUGUCAAUUUGUCUAAUUUUCUCACAGUGCAGCAUACAAACAUUAAAUACCAGUAUAUAUUAUAAAUAAAUUCCUCAGAUUCCAAUGUGCCAAAUAGACGUACAAUAACUAGACCUAUUUUACAAAAUCCCCCCCAAAAUGAAUCAAGACAGUGAGCCAAUUUUCAUUUGCCAGGUCUUGGUGUUGUUUGCACUGUUUCACGGGGACUAUCACUGUGUGCUUGGAUUACUCUCAUUGGCCGAAACAUCUUGCCUCAGUCUUAGGCUACUUAUAUUGGCACAAUGUAUAACGUUAUGCAACGUGAGCAUAAUCCUUUGCAGUCUCCCAUAGGUGUAUAAACUGGGAUCAGAUUGUGGCUUCAUAUGUCAAACGAUAUAAAUAAUACUGGAGCUUAUGUUCAUUUCGGUUUCUCGUGAGACCUGGAAGUUCAGCUGAGUCCAGGUUUUAAUUGAACACUUUGGCAAUGCUUCUGCAAAACUCUGAACAGGUUUAAUUUCCUGGCAGGAGAAAUCUUUGAUAAGGAUUUCAAAGGAAGAGCUGCAGAUUAGGCUUGCGCACCAUGUUCUACAGCAUGCAUCUGUGUUUUUAAUUAUCCGACUUUUGAAUGUGAGUUUUGCUUUAUGG
rnacentral:lncRNA from 1 species